rnacentral:rRNA from 1 species
UACGGAGGGUGCGAGCGUUAAUCGGAAUUACUGGGCGUAAAGGGUGCGUAGGUGGUUAAUUAAGUUAUCUGUGAAAUCCCUGGGCUCAACCUGGGCAGGUCAGAUAAUACUGUUUAACUCGAGUAUGGGAGAGGGUAGUGGAAUUUCCGGUGUAGCGGUGAAAUGCGUAGAGAUCGGAAGGAACACCAGUGGCGAAGGCGGCUACCUGGCCUAAUACUGACACUGAGGCACGAAAGCGUGGGGGAGCAAACAGG